rnacentral:snRNA from 1 species
AGCUGUGAGGGCUAUCUGGCUGUGACAUCUGUCCCCCCAUUAAUUGCCAGGAUCAAUUCAGCUGAUCUGGCUUGUGGAGAGUACCCCCUUCCUCCCUCACUGCUCCAUGUGUGUCCCUCCAGAAGCUGUGUACUCUGUAGAAGAGGAUGACCAUCCCUGAUAGAAGGAGACCAUUCUUCAGUCAAGGUUAAAGGAGUAGCUGCACUCCCCUGCUAGAACCUCCAAACAAGCUCUCAAGAUAAGGAUUAUUUCUUUAAAAUGUCCAUAAUACCAUUUUCAUACCUAAAAAUCAGUAACAAUUU